UCCUGCGGCAUUUGCUUCGAUAGAUGAGGCGGGAGUUGUGGCAGGAAAACUUGCGUCUAAGUCACCGUGACAACGCAGCUGCUUACAAUGCCCUGAGCAUCCGACAGUUCCCGGCCAAUCAGACCAUCACCAAGCUGAAGCAACCUCCCUACUCACCCGACCUGGAUCUGGGUGGUUUUUUUUUUCCCUCUUUCCCAAGCUCAAUGGGGUUAUCAAGCCACCAGUUUUGAAGUCGUGUACAACUUCAAGAUGGCAAUUUUGACUGAGGAUCCCAGAAGAAUCCUUCCAGGAGUGCAUGAAGGUGUAGAGAAAGCUGGAAAUGUAGAUUACGUUAGAUUCAGAAACCGUAAGAACGGAUCUGAUAUGAAGAGGCACAUAAAACCGGACGCACGCAACAAUGUGGAGCGACCACUGAGGAGGACUGGAAUGCUAAUUGCCAGAAAAGACGCCAUCUUUAAUCAACAAUUCACAACAAUAUACCAGGCCCCACAGCCCGCAGGGGAGCACCCCACAAGAAGAUGAGACGUCGACCGCAGCGGGACGCAUGGAACGGUGAGAAGAGGAGCAGGCCCGAGCAAAUAAUACAUUUGUUUUGAUAAUGUGAACACUCGAACUGCAUUAAAGAACAAAGGGGGGCGUAAGUGGCCCCCGGUCCAUUUUCGCCAGUGCGAUAUAUUUCGAACCCAGAAACUCAGAACUCUGAGGGUGACAAGCUAACCACAGGAUCACCGUGCUGCCUGCGCAUUAUGACCUGGCAGAAAAGUCUGGUGAGCAUUUGAGAACCAAAUGUGGGACAUUUUUCUU